AUGGGUCGGGGGAAGGUGGAGAUGAGGCGGAUCGAGAACAAGAUAAGCCGGCAGGUGACGUUCGCCAAGCGCCGGAAUGGGCUGCUCAAGAAGGCCUACGAGCUAUCGCUGCUCUGCGACGCUGAGAUCGCCCUCAUCAUCUUCUCCGGCCGCGGCCGCCUCUUCGAGUUCUCAAGCUCCUCAUGCAUGUACAAAACACUUGAGAGAUACCGCACCUGCAACUGCAACUCACAGGAAGCGACCCCUCUAGCAGAAAAUGAAAUAAAUUACCAGCAAUAUCUGAAGCUGAAGACCAGACUUGAAUACCUUGAAAGUUCACAAAGAAAUAUUCUCGGUGAGGAUCUGGGCCCACUUAGCAUUAAGGAACUUGAGCAAAUUGAGAACCAAAUAGACAUAUCCCUCAAGCAUAUCAGGACAAGAAAGAAUAAAGUAUUACUUGAUGAGCUAUAUGACCUGAAAAGUAAGGAGCAAGAAUUGCAGGAUCAAAACAAAAACCUGAGGAAGAAGUUGCAAGAUACCAGCUAUGCCCAGAAUGCGCCCCAUAUGGCCUGGCAAGAUGCAGGACAGAGUAGCUCAAGUGGGCAUGUCAUUGAUACUACUUAUCCAGGACUUGUGGAACACCCGGAACAUGAUUCCUCCAUGCAAGUUGGGUACAAUAAUCAGGCCUACGUGGACCAGCCGAACAACAAGGAAGACAUGGCUUCUCAGCGCCUUCAUGCACUUGGAUCAUCUGCAGGUUGGAUAUGA
rnacentral:rRNA from 1 species